GACGAACCGUCCAAACGUUAUUCGGAAUCACUGGGCUUACAGAGUUCGUAGGCGGUCCCAAAAGUUAGGUGUGAAAUCCCUCGGCUCAACCGAGGAACUGCGCUUAAAACUGUGGGACUCGAGGGAGAUAGAGGAAAGCGGAACUGAUGGUGGAGCGGUGAAAUGCGUUGAUAUCAUCAGGAACACCGGUGGCGAAGGCGGGUCUCUGGGCCGAUACUGACGCUGAGGAGCGGAAGCGUGGGGAGCGAACAGG
rnacentral:rRNA from 1 species